CAGCAGCCGCGGGAAUACGAAGGGGGCUAGCGUUGCUCGGAAUGACUGGGCGUAAAGGGCGCGUAGGCGGAUUGCACAGUCAGACGUGAAAUUCCUGGGCUCAACCUGGGGACUGCGUUUGAGACGUGCGAUCUAGAGUUUGGAAGAGGGUCGUGGAAUUCCCAGUGUAGAGGUGAAAUUCGUAGAUAUUGGGAAGAACACCGGUGGCGAAGGCGGCGACCUGGUCCUUGACUGACGCUGAGGCGCGAAAGCGUGGGGAGCAAACAGGAUUAGAUACCCCCGUAGUCCCUGUCUCUUAUAC
rnacentral:rRNA from 1 species